GUUUGCUAUGAAGAAAGCCAUCAUUCUACCAUCAAAAUACAUUUAUGAAGAUGAAGUGAGAUUGGCAAAGAGAAAACUGAAUGUCCCUGAAUAAAACCUCUGUAUCUGGA
ensembl:lncRNA novel transcript